GUGGGGAAUUUUGGACAAUGGGCGCAAGCCUGAUCCAGCAAUGCCGCGUGCAGGAAGAAGGCCUUCGGGUUGUAAACUGCUUUUGUACGGAACGAAACGGUCCUGGUUAAUACCUGGGGCUAAUGACGGUACCGUAAGAAUAAGCACUGGCUAACUACGUGCCAGCAGCCGCGGUAAUACGUAGGGUGCGAGCGUUAAUCGGAAUUACUGGGCGUAAAGCGUGCGCAGGCGGUGCUGUAAGACAGGCGUGAAAUCCCCGGGCUCAACCUGGGAAUUGCGCUUGUGACUGCAGUGCUGGAGUACGGCAGAGGGGGAUGGAAUUCCGCGUGUAGCAGUGAAAUGCGUAGAUAUGCGGAGGAACACCGAUGGCGAAGGCAGUCCCCUGGGCCUGUACUGACGCUCAUGCACGAAAGCGUGGGGAGCAAACAGGAUUAGAUACCCCAGUAGUCC
rnacentral:rRNA from 1 species